ACGCUGGCGGCGUGCUUAACACAUGCAAGUCGAACGAUGAAGCCCAGCUUGCUAGGUGGAUUAGUGGCGAACGGGUGAGUAAUACGUGAGUAACCUACCUUUAACUCUGGGAUAAGCCUGGGAAACUGGGUCUAAUACCGGAUACAACCAAUCUCCGCAUGGGGUGUUGGUGGAAAGCGUUAUGUAGUGGUUAUAGAUGGGCUCACGGCCUAUCAGCUUGUUGGUGAGGUAACGGCUCACCAAGGCGACGACGGGUAGCCGGCCUGAGAGGGUGACCGGCCACACUGGGACUGAGACACGGCCCAGACUCCUACGGGAGGCAGCAGUGGGGAAUAUUGCACAAUGGGCGCAAGCCUGAUGCAGCGACGCCGCGUGAGGGAUGACGACCUUCGGGUUGUAAACCUCUGUUAGCAGGGAAGAAGAGAAAUUGACGGUACCUGCAGAGAAAGCGCCGGCUAACUACGUGCCAGCAGCCGCGGUAAUACGUAGGGCGCGAGCGUUGUCCGGAAUUAUUGGGCGUAAAGAGCUUGUAGGCGGUUUGUCGCGUCUGCUGUGAAAGGCCGGGGCUUAACCCCGUGUAUUGCAGUGGGUACGGGCAGACUAGAGUGCAGUAGGGGAGACUGGAACUCCUGGUGUAGCGGUGGAAUGCGCAGAUAUCAGGAAGAACACCGAUGGCGAAGGCAGGUCUCUGGGCUGUAACUGACGCUGAGAAGCGAAAGCAUGGGGAGCGAACAGGAUUAGAUACCCUGGUAGUCCAUGCCGUAAACGUUGGGCACUAGGUGUGGGGGACAUUCCACGUUUUCCGCGCCGUAGCUAACGCAUUAAGUGCCCCGCCUGGGGAGUACGGCCGCAAGGCUAAAACUCAAAGAAAUUGACGGGGGCCCGCACAAGCGGCGGAGCAUGCGGAUUAAUUCGAUGCAACGCG
rnacentral:rRNA from 1 species